GACGUAGGGCGCGAGCGUUGUCCGGAUUUAUUGGGCGUAAAGAGCUCGUAGGCGGCUUGUCGCGUCGAAUGUGAAAUCUCAGGGCUCAACUCUGACAUUGCAUUCGAUACGGGCAGGCUAGAGUUCGGUAGGGGAGACUGGAAUUCCUGGUGUAGCGGUGAAAUGCGCAGAUAUCAGGAGGAACACCGAUGGCGAAGGCAGGUCUCUGGGCCGAUACUGACGCUGAGGCGCGAAAGCUAGGGGAGCAAACGGG
rnacentral:rRNA from 1 species